rnacentral:rRNA from 1 species
GAUGAACGCUGGCGGCGUGCCUAAUACAUGCAAGUCGAGCGAACAGAUAAGGAGCUUGCUCCUUUGACGUUAGCGGCGGACGGGUGAGUAACACGUGGGUAACCUACCUAUAAGACUGGAAUAACUCCGGGAAACCGGGGCUAAUGCCGGAUAACAUUUAGAACCGCAUGGUUCUAAAGUGAAAGAUGGUUUUGCUAUCACUUAUAGAUGGACCCGCGCCGUAUUAGCUAGUUGGUAAGGUAACGGCUUACCAAGGCAACGAUACGUAGCCGACCUGAGAGGGGGCUCGCCCAAGAGGAAAUUGAAACGCGGCCCAGACUCAAGGGGGGGGCAAGAGGGGGGAAUCUGCCGAAAGGGGCGAAAGCCGGCCGGAGAACCGCCGCGUGGGGAAUAAGGGUCUUGGGUGGGAAAAACUCUUUUAUGGGGGAAAAACAAAUGGGUAAGUACCUGGGGAGGUUGUGGGGGAACUAAAAAAAAAAGCCGGCGAAAAACGCG